UACGGGGGGGGCAAGCGUUGUUCGGAAUUACUGGGCGUAAAGGGCUCGUAGGCGGCCAACUAAGUCGGACGUGAAAUCCCUCGGCUUAACCGGGGAACUGCGUCCGAUACUGGAUGGCUUGAGAUUGGGAGAGGGAUGCGGAAUUCCAGGUGUAGCGGUGAAAUGCGCAGAUAUCAGGAAGAACACCCGUGGCGAAGGCGGUUCUCUGGGACGGUACUGACGCUGAGACGCGAAAGCGUGGGGAGCAAACAGG
rnacentral:rRNA from 1 species